GACGAACGCUGGCGGCGUGCUUAACACAUGCAAGUCGAACGGAAAGGCCCUGCUUGCAGGGUACUCGAGUGGCGAACGGGUGAGUAACACGUGGGUGAUCUGCCCUGCACUUCGGGAUAAGCCUGGGAAACUGGGUCUAAUACCGGAUAGGAGCCAUUUUUAGUGUGAUGGUUGGAAAGUUUUUUCGGUGUAGGAUGAGCUCGCGGCCUAUCAGCUUGUUGGUGGGGUAAUGGCCUACCAAGGCGGCGUCGGGUAGCCGGCCUGAGAGGGUGGACGGCCACAUUGGGACUGAGAGACGGCCCAGACUCCUACGGGAGGCAGCAGUGGGGAAUAUUGCACAAUGGGCGCAAGCCUGAUGCAGCGACGCCGCGUGGGGGAUGACGGCCUUCGGGUUGUAAACGCCUUUCGCUAGGGACGAAGCUUUUUGUGACGGUACCUAGAGAAGAAGCACCGGCUAACUACGUG
rnacentral:rRNA from 1 species